AAGGGACGUGGGUCUUUGUACAAGAUUCCACAAUGAAAUUAUUAGAAAAACAAAUUAGAAAAAGUUGUUAACAUCACUAAACCGGAACAAUAAACAUAAUGCAUUAGAGUAGAGUAACCAUGGGCUAUGAAUACAAUGCCUCGUUAUAAACAUUCCUGGAAAAAUGAUACUAUCAUCACCUAACCAGCAUUAAACUUGCUAGGCCAAACAUCAAAACUAUAAAGGAUUCAAAACCAUCUUAAAAUCAUAACAACAAGCAUAAUCCAAAUAAUAUAAACAAUAAUCUACAACAUUAACACACAUGCUAAGAAAUAAAAGCUACUGUCGAUGGAAGAAAUCGAAACGAGGGCCAUCAGAAAAAUAUGAAGUAUCUAGCAUCAAACUUACUCACAUCGGUGUCGUUGCCGGUUCGUGUUGUUGAAACGGAGUGUCAACACAACGCCGUUGUUCGUUGGAUGAGUGGGUGGUGCGGUUCACGUUGAAAUCCACGCGAGAGUGAGGCACAAAGGAGCUUCACGACGUUGCUGUGGUGAACGACCGACAUGCGGCGGUUGCGUUCUCAAGGUGAUCGAAAGGGGUUAUUGUAGGACGGCGGCAUGGUGAGUGAACGGUUGUGGUCGGUGCGAUCAGAGAUGUUGAAGGAUCAUGGAGAUGUUGUUGUGUGGCACGGCGGUGGUAGCUAUCCUCAUUGGUGGUUCUGCCGUAGACGAGGGCUUCCCUAGGGCUUCCUACUAGGCGGGAGGUUUCUGAGGUUAACCUCCCGUAAGAGCUCUCAGAUUCAUAACGGAUAGAUGGAUAUGUAGGCGAAGGACGGUGGUUGUAGUUGUGGUGGUGCGAAUCGCAAUGUAAAUCGACGGGUGGAUGAUUUCUGGUGGAUCGGUCUUCAGGGUUAGGGUUCCAAGGGGGUUGAGAGUGGAAGAUGAGGGAGACGUUGGAAGAAAGAAGAUCCAAACUUAUUCUUUCUUUUUUCUUUUUUUUCGUUGAAAGGGAGAGAGAGAGUAAUGAGUGGGUGAGAGAGAGCGUCAGUUAGUAAAUGAGUGUAUCCUUUUUAUUUUGUUUUUUUUCUUUUCCCUUCUUCCCACUGAGAGAAGAAAGAGUCUUUUUUCAUUUUUUAUUUUUUGAUUUUCUUAUUAUUUUUUUUGGAAAAAGAGAGAGAAUUGGUGGGUAGAGUGAUAUUAUUGAGUGGGUCGAGAAUCCUUUUUUGUGGACUCCCUCUUUCAUUUCAUGAGCCAGCUGGAAUCAUGGGAGCAACGUCCUUCUUUGGAGAAUGGGACACAUGUCCCUCUGUUAUUGGAAACGAAAAGAUACCCACUUAUUCUUAUCCCUCUUCCUUCCGCCAGCAAAUGAGGGAGAUAAUUGGAGAGACUUUUAAUUUUAUCUUGUUAUUUUGAAUAUUAAAGUAGGAGCUUGACAACUAAAUUGAAAAUAAAAUCAACUAUUCGAAAUAAACUCAAAUUAAUCAUCCAAUCAAUUUUACAUAAUUCUCACAAUUAUUUUGGCUAAAAAGAUAGAAAUAAAUGGAUCAAUCAUGAAUAAAAGUCGGGCGAAAAUUUGCUCGAAAAAUUAAACCGGACGCACUAGAAUGAUCAGCACGAAAUAUACUUUUUGAAAAAAUACAACUUUUCUUUUAAUUUUGAAAUAAAUUUUCACCGGUUAAAAUGGCUCAGACGGAUAAAAAUGCAGCCGAAAAAGUUGCUGAAAAAUAUAAUGAGCACACCAGGUUAAACUACAUGAAUCGUAGAUUAAUAAUACUGGCGUCUGCAGUUUUGAUUUUGAAAUUUUUUACCCGCUGAUUUUGCACGUUCUUGAGAAAUGAUUUAACCAAUUUGUCUGCAUUUUCAAUAAUUUAUCCUGACUGAUAUUUUAGGUAUUAUUCAUGAUGACAUGCAUGUCAUGUUGUGCAUAUGAUGCAAAUUAAAAAUGAAAUCAAAUUUACGAAAAGUUAAAAAUGUCUGGACAAAAUUGGGGUAUGACAGGUGCCCCUAUUUAAUUAACUUGAACUGGAAGGUAAGAAUGACAACGAUCUUCAUACAUUCAUGGUAGAGGGUAAUUAAAUAUGAAAAGACCCAAAUUUUUCCUUUGAAAUGCAAUGGAGAAAAUGCAGAAAGAAAAUGUAAUGAGUCCUAACAACACUAAGGUAAUAGGGGUAGAACGUCAAAUCAAAUGCCAAACCUCGAGUGGACACUCAAAUCUUGCAAAGGUCGUUAUUGAUGUAAGGGAAAAUGUGGGACUAAAAUUGAAGGGUUUUUUGGCACCCAAAGGAUGACAGUAGAGUUAAUUGCCACCACCAAAAGGAUGAUAAGAAUUCACCACGAUUUCCAAGAUCAUCAUCACCAAAAGGAUGAUGGAUUAAACCAAGCUUUAAAGGUGGUCAUCACCAAAAGGAUGAUGGCAAGAUUAAUAAUAAAACUUGUUGUCACCAAAAGGAUGAAAAUUAGACACAACAAAAUUUGCUAUCACCAAAAGGAUGAAAGUUAGACACAAUAAAAUCCAAAGAUCUCCAUCACCAAAAGGAUGAUGUCCAUCACCAAAAAGAUGAUGGUUAUCCUGAUAAAGCUUUCCAUUACCGAAAGGAUAAUAGCACGACUACCACCGGAAGGAUGAUAGUUAACUCAAUAACUUCAAAGACCACUAUCACCAAAAGGAUAAAGGUAAGUUCAAACAACAGAACUCAUUAUCACCGAAAGGAUGAUAAUAAGUCAAUAACUUCAACGGUCACUGUCACCAAAAGGAUGAAGGUAAGAUUAAUUACAAAACUUGUUACCACUAAAAGGAUGAUAAUAAGUCACGAUAUUCACCAUCACCAAAAGGAUGAAGGUAUUAUCAACCACAAAACUUGUUAUCACCAAAAGGAUGAUAAUAAGUCAACAACUCAAAUGAUCACCAUCACCAAAAGGAUGAAGGUAAUUGCCCCUGAUUGAGCCUUUGUGGGACUUGCCCCAGACAGACUGAGUAUUGAAGUGAUUUUCCUCCCUGAUCAACCGAUGUUUGGAGACUUAUCUUAUACUGAAAAAAUCUUAGAUCAACAUAAUCAUUAGAUUGCCCUGCCCCUAAUCCAUAGGAUUAUUAGGGGUUUUUGAUUUGUGUUGGAACUAACGAUCAAGUACCUCUCGAAUCGCCCUUUGUUGGAACUUCCUGAAGUCAAGUACUGACUGGCAGUUAAGAAUUGUUAUUCAAGAAAUGGUGAUCUUAAUGCAAUAGUUAUGCAAGUUUUUGAAAAACAAUCAUUCAUUUGGGGUGUUGUGGUAGUGUGUGACGAGUGGAUCAUGAGUCCAAACACGGUGUUGAUUUUAGCUAGCGUGUGAGUGAUACAGUGAGAAUAGAAUAUUAGCAAAUCUCUAGGAGUCAGUUUAUGCAACCUUGCUGUAGUGUGCUUUCAGAAUAAACCCUACUUCAAUUAGGUCUUUUGAGGAUUGUAAUGUGGCUUGGUUCACGAUUAUCGAAACAAAAGGAUAUAAGGCUCAAAGUUUAUUUUAACCCACCAUUUUCUUCAUGAUGAUCUCCAAUCCUACGUUCAGUUAAUUCAACACACACUUUACUUUUACAAGAGUUCAGUAGUGUAAAUCUCUUAAAAUGGCAGUCAUCUUAUUUUGCUCUUCAUGGAUGUUGGUGGCCCUUUGAUUUUGGCAUGGUGGUCACUGAAUCUUGUUUUACCUUGUUGAGGAUUUUCAUUGUCUCUUUCAAUUUUUGUUUUGAUCCCUAACUUUUGCAUUGAGCACUUUUGGAGCUUUGAUCCAUCGGGAUUGCCCCAGUUUUUUGCCUAAGUCUCCUUUUAGUGUGUUUUGACUUAGCAGGCUCUUUCUUUGAUUUUUUUUUUUGUGACUGUCAAGUCAUUGGUCAUUGAAGAACAACCGACAUAAAUUUUGGAUUUUGUAUGGUUCCCUCGACAUUUCAGGAGGCCAAAGUUUACCCCAUUUCAAGCCAUAAUCCUUUCAACCAUGGCUGCUAGAUUAUUAUCUGAUGCUAUAUCAUCAUGUCGAAUCUUCCGUAUGACAUUGUCGGUGUUUUGGUUUCUAUUUACCAUUACUAUCCUUGGCUCUCUUUCCUUGGGGAUUUGUGGUUCGAUCUAGGGGGUUCGACUCCUACUCCCUGAUUUACCAUCUCUGGUUGCAGCUGAUUUUGUGGAAUUUGGUUGGUCAUAGGGUCUUCUUCGAAGGUUUCUCCCGUGUUUUCCUUACCUAAUCCCUCGGAAGGUGUCGAUAAGGUUGCGCUACACCUAGGAAAUCAGACAUUCGCACCAUCUGCGUUGUCAUCUAUUGAUUUGAUUGAGCCAUAUUUUGAAUCAAAGGAUUCAAUAUGAUGGUCAACGUUUGGGUAAGCAUUUGGACCAUGUCAUGGUUGCUUUCGUCCAUCUGUUGUCUCCACACUGCUGUGGAAUUAUUGGUAAGGCUGGGUAUUUGUGUUUAGUGUCUCAAACCUGAAGGUUGGUUAUUUCGACCCACGUUAACCCCAGAUCCUGACCCUUGUACUAGGGAGUUUAUGUUGACUACUAGUUUUGAAAAUGUCGAAGCAACAUUAUGUAAACUUGCCAUUACUGAAGUUGGCAUUCCAUACGGUUGUUCUCGACCACCAAAGGGAAUAGAGAAACCAGGGGGUAUCGAAGGCUUGUUUAGAACAUUUUCAAUAGGUGGGGAUGGGUGUGUGUGGGGGGGGGGGGGGGGGGGGGGGNGGGGUGAGGAGGCCCCCUAGGCCCAAUGUAACUUAAAAUAGGUUCAGUAUGGGGAAUCAAAUGCAUAGGCAUCGAACUUGCCAUAGAUGGAACUAGUUCAGACACGUGCAUUGUGGUCGUGUUCACCCCUAUCGAAGAAGAAGGGGGUGGUAUAUUGUUGGUUGAUGGAUUUUGAGAAUUUUGGUUAUUUGGCACAUUUAAAUUCGCCAUUCUCGUGGUGGAUUUUCCCCUUGGCCUGUGUUCGUUGGUUGUGGCUACUUUAUCACUCCUUAAUAACAUACAACGAAUUCUUUUGAAAAGGAAAAGAUGAAUGAAUAACUAGAAUAAGGAAAAACAAUUUCAAGUUUCUAAAAACGUUAGCACUGUCCCACUGGGCAUGCCAAUUUGUUUACUGUGAAAAUUGGUAAACAACUAAUGAUCUUCCAAAUUACUAAAUUUGGUCACUUACAGGAUCAAUCAAAUUGGUCCUAGGACAUGUGUUGAUUGUUUAAAGUGAAUUCUAGUAAAUGCGAGUACUUCGACAGUAUUGUAAUGAUGGUGAUUAGUGAAACUAACUUAGACAAUAAAAGACUAACACAAAUUAAAGAAGAGAUUGUAAAAGAAAUUGAGAUAACUAGCAACAAAGAUGAAUAUUUGAAACAAAGAAGUAUUUCUGGAAAAAUAAAGAAAAAUUGCAUUACUUCAAAGUAACUAACAAUGGUGUAAAACGAACAUACAUUUCUUAAUUUACUAUUCCUCUUCACACAGAUACUUGGUAAAUUUUACAGACUCUGUACACACUUUGACACACACUGAUCCUAACACUAAGACCCUCUAUUUAUAUUAAUCUAAAUAAUCGUUUCUAACGACCUCUUAAUCACGUCGAGACAAAUGGCACUUUGCAUGGAUGCAACUAUCCAUUAUACUUCACGUGUACCUUUAUCAAUUUCAGAUAAGAACAAAGUUCCUGAUCGCGACUUAGUAAGUCUAUGGGAUUCGUGACUGCAAGUGUACAGUCUUAUCGCAUAGUUUUAAAGACUAUCGAACCCAAAUGACUAAUAAUCAAAUGUACCUUAUCUAAUGUUACUAUGUAAAUCUAAGCCUGAGGAUCUUUCUAAGAGUGGAGGGAUGAAGAGAAAUAACAACUAACGAAAAUAGAAUAUUAAUAAAAAAUUUAAUAGCGGGAUAUCGGUAUGUAACGCAUCAAACUUUGUGGAUUCGAUAGAUAGUUGGUGUAAUCUUAAAGACCAAAAUAUUCUUCAGUAGAAAUUAUUCAUUUAAAAAACUUUAUCUCACACUCUCGUUUUUAUUGACUCUGACCAUACUCUUAAACCAGAAUGCUUGGCUCUAGCUGUCUCAUUUGAAUAUAAAAGUAAUUUUUAGAAAUAAAUAAAGUCUAAUUAAUCCUAAAGCGCUCUCGCUGUGUUUAAGAUUAAUGCCUAGUUUCAGCUAUCCGGUUAAAAUAUCAAACUCUCGUUUUUAUUGACCGUAACCUUUGUUUGUUUUGUACUCUCGUGCGAAAAACAGUUUUGUGUUUAAAACAAGAAACUAUAACCGGAAAAUAAUAUUUUAUAAAAGCCAACACCAAUUAUUUACAAAUCUCGUCGUUUCGACGGUCUUUACAUACUGAUACCUAUUGGUUUAGCCGGACAUGGAUCCAGGAAUAGACAUGAUAUUCAGAUAAUUAAGCAUACAAUAAGGCACAAGCAAUUAAAACGAAAGUUAAAAUAGAACCUGGAAUAUAAAUCGAAAACUUGGAAUGAAUGUUGAUUCUUCAAAUUAAACAAUGUCGGAACGCUUUGGCAAUCGAGUACACCAUUACAAUCAAAUUUAGUUGCUUAAAUAAAAAUCUCAAUAGUCCCCGAUGUGGAGAAUCUAUUGCUCUUACAAGGCAAAAAUCUGCCUAGGAAAUCUAACAACAAACUCUGACUAAAAAGAUGCACCUCGUCCGUGAAGACUAACGUCUCUAUAUAUACUCCUCACUCCUCCAUAAAAGUAGCCUUGAAUAUCUACUAGUGGGAAGCGGUUGGUUGAAAGAGUAAAAACCGGGCGUGGCGAAAAGUGGGGAGAAGAACAAGGAAGAUCGGUUUGGUGGCGGCUGCCACAACCCUAAUUUGGUCCACGUGGCGGGCGCCACUUCAUGUGAGGUAGAUGCCACCUUCAUGUAAUGUGGUGGGUGCUACCACUUCAUAAACCUUUGUGGCGGGCGCCACCCUUCAUCUAGUGUGGUGGGCGCCACUAUUCAUAUUUUGCUCCUUUUUCUUUCCUUUUUUCUAUAGGUGGGUGCUACCACUUCAUAAACCUUUGUGGCGGGCGCCACCCUUCAUCUAGUGUGGUGGGCGCCACUAUUCAUAUUUUGCUCCUUUUUCUUUCCUUUUUUCUAUUUCCCUCUUUGCUUGCCUAGACAUCUCUUAUUUGAUAAAUACAUGAAAUAAACAUAAAAUACGGUGUAAUACUAUGGAAAAUCAAAUAAAAAGCAAUGCAUGCUAAGUCAAAUAUACGAUACAUUUUCACGUAAUACUAUGGAAAAUUAUUAAUGAAAUAAAUUUCAUUGAAUGGUGUUCAAUGCAUCGGUCAAGGUAUUUGAAAGUGGUUGAAGAAGGUUUAAUACACUGUCUAACAUGCAUGGGACAAGGAAUUUAUGGACUUGAUGGCACAACAGCAGUGUGAGCAUGAGGAUUGAUGGAGUGGCUGGCGCCACUUUGUGUGUGUGUGGCGGGUGCCCCCUAUGAGGGUGUGGCGGGUGCCACAAUGUGCAAAUGGGCGCCACAUGCAGUGUUGUGUGUGUUUCCCAUGUAUUCCCUUUUGACCCUGCAUUUUUUCAGGGUGCCACAAUGUGCAAAUGGGCGCCACAUGCAGUGUUGUGUGUGUUUCCCAUGUAUUCCCUUUUGACCCUGCAUUUUUUCUUUGACCACAACGUUUGCAUGUGAAUUUAAUUGACCAACAUUUAAUAGUUAUUGUAUAAUUAGGUGAAAGAAAAAUAAGAUACAUAGAAGUGGGAAUUAAGGAUUAAAUAGGAUAUGGUAAAAUGAAAUUAAAACAUAAAAUCGAAAAAGAAAAGAAUGAGGUAGAUAGGAAAGAAUAACAUAAUUCGUUUGAUAGAUAAAAAUGAAAUAAUUGAAAAUUCCCAAUGUGUAAAAAGAACAAUUAAAUUCAAACAUGAAAAUAAAAUGAAAAAUCAAUGUCAUUAAAUCGGUAAUAUUCAUAAACAUUAGCCAUUACGGCGACUGCCGGCAGGAGGAGCGAACGAGUAGUAGUGCUGGUAAAUGUGAUCCAAGUUCUCUGUCACUACAUCCAUAAAGUCGUGGAGGUCCACGCGCAAAGUGCUCAGUUCGCCUCUCAGGUUGGCGAUGUCGGUCUGAACAACGUCAAGGACAACAACAUGAUCAGUAAGAGGCGCAAUAGGUAUAGCAGGGGCACAUGAUUCAGUGUCAAAGAGAUAGGUAUUAUAAUGGUCAUAAAUCUGGGGUGUCUCUAGAGGAGACGGUGGUCCAUCCGGUGGUCCAUCCAAAUCAAAGAGCCAGUUGUUCCUAUCAUGUACACUCAUCCUAUGGUCUGGCAGGGUAAACAAGUGUACUACUUGGUGGUUAAUAAAAAAUUCAAACACAUCCGGGCCCAGGUUUCUAAUGAUACCAGUGUUGAAACAGAAUUGAAUGUUCAUUGGUCGUAUUCCACCUAGAGGGUUAAGUCUGAUAAGUGGUUGUCUCAAUCCAAUGGCAUUUGUGAUCAUGGUCACUAAUCCCCCUAUUCAGAUUGGUCCAUGGUUAGCCUGUGCCAUACGGUCUAUGUUAGCUAUCAUAAAUGUAGUGGCAUUAACAGGACGUUCCUGUGAUGCACAAUACAUUAUAAAGAGUUCGUCUUUGGACACGGAGGUUAUGUUUUUUUCUUUUCCAAAUAGGGUGUGAGCUAGGAUCUUAUGAAAGUAACGAAUGGCAGGGUUGUGGAUGUUCUUAGAAUGCAUGAGAUCCGGCUCGGGAUGGUUGUUUCCUGUAAUGCUACCCCAAAAGUAAUCUAGUUCAAGGUCAGUAAGCAGGUCUUCCUGGGUGAUGGUAAAGGUAUCAGGACCAUUAGGGCAUCCUAGGAGUUCAUCUAUUUCUCUAUGAUUAUAGUGAUACUCAAUAUCGAACAUCCUAAAGGUGAUGAUGCCUUUGUUGAAUUCGAUACCAUGAUUUGGCAAGUAAACCAGGGAGCUUAGGAAUUCUAAGGUUAGCCUACGGUAGGAACUAAAGUUUCUUUUGAUAGCAAAAGUAUCCCAUCCAAUUUGGUUAAGUAGGAACAUAACACUAUCUCUUAUACCUAACUUAGUCAUGGUACGUCCAUCGGGGUAUAUGGUUAGUGUCAUCUCUUUAUGAGCUAGAGCCUCAAAGCGUCUCCUUAGACCUCUGCCUCUGAAAACUAUAUUCGUGUAGUCUACUUAUUACAUCGUGAAAGUCAGUAGCAAGAUAAAUUUAAGUAGACGAUAACACUAAGUCAGUAAUAGUUAAUAAUAAAGAAAAAUACUGAGUGACUUUAUGAAAUAGAAGAAAGAAAAAAAUGGAUAGAUAAAAAAUGCCAUUAAUAAAACAGGAAAUAUUCGCUAUGUUUUACGUCGAUAGCACGAUGACUCAAGAGUGUAAGUACUCAUGGUGGUUCUUUCGAGGAUGAAUCCUCAGUCAAACUUUUAAUUAUCCUCGAUUUCCAUGGCCACUUAUCAAGCCAUCUCUCAUAUCCAUCACCUUUUCUUCUUUUUCUUCUGCGAGGUAGUUUAUCCUUCUGAACUUGUGGUGGUGGUUCUGGCUCUAUCUUGAGAGCUAGCUUUUCAGGUUUGGGUUCAAUUUUUCCAUCCACCACCUCAAAUUCUAACUUUCCCCUUUUAAUACUAAUGAGUUCCCUAGUCUCACGGUCUUCUAAUUUUCUCUUCUUAUUCAGGAUCUCAAAUAAAGGUGCAUUGGUGUGGAUAUUUUCCAAUAGAUCCUCAUACUUUCGGAUUUGGGUUCUACCUUAACUUCCACAGACCUUCGUGGGAAAGGAAUUGGUGAUUUAUAGGGAGGAGGAACAACACAUAGUGCUUCCUUCUCUACCUCUUCGACAACCUCCCUUUCGGGUGGUGUCGGUGGAUCUUUCUCAAUCUCUACUCUUUUCUCACCAACAACACAUAGUGCUUCCUUCUCUACCUCUUCGACAACCUCCCUUUCGGGUGGUGUCGGUGGAUCUUUCUCAAUCUCUACUCUUUUCUCACCUGAACCCUCCUCAUUAUCACUCUCCUUAGGAUUUUCGGUAGAUUUUUCACUGGUGAUUGUUACAACAUCCACAUGUUUCUCAGGGAAUGGUCCUAGAGGUGUUUGCGCAAGCAGGGAGAUUUGAGUCUCCAAUGCCUCGUCGUGAGUGACGAGGGACUCGACCACAGUGUUCAGUUGCCUAAGGGUUUAAUUGGUAUAGAGACUUUGUUUUCUAAAUUCUUCAUUCUGAAGAGUUUGUGUAGCCAUAAAGCAUUCCAUCAUAGAUUCUAUCCUAGAAUGAGUUUACAUCGCAAUGAAAUCCUCCAUUACUAUUUCCAAGUCAGAUUUAUAGGAGUGAUAAUCGUAGAGAAAAUUUGGGUGAUACAUAUUAAUAGAUUAAAGAGUGCCUUAGUCUAUACUGGGCAACACUGGAGUUACGAUAUCGACUAAAUUAGUCUCCGUCAGCGGUGCCAAAAACUUGAUCGCGACUUAGUAAGUCUAUGGGAUUCGUGACUGCAAGUGUACAGUCUUAUCGCGCGGUUUUAAAGAUUAUCGAACCCAAAUGACUAAUAAUCGAACGUACCGGUAUCUAAUGUUACUAUGUAAGUCUAAGAAUUAGGAUCAUUCUAAGAGUGGAAGGGUGAAGAGAAAUAACUACUAACGAAAACAGAAUAUUAAUAAAAAUAUUUAAUAGCGGGAUAUCGGUAUGUAAUUCAUCAAACUUCGGGGAUUCGAUAGAUAGUUGGUGUAAUCUUAAAGACCAAAAUAUUCUUUAGUAGAAAUUAUUCAUUUAAAAGACUUUGUCUCACACUCUCGUUUUUAUUGACUCUGACUAUACUCUUAAACCAUAAUGCUUGGCUCUCGCUGGCUCAUUUGAAUUUAAAAGUAAUUUUUGGAAAUAAAUAAAGUCGAAUUAAUACUAAAGCGCUCUCGCUGUGUUUAGGAUUAAUGCCUAGUUUCAGCUAUCCAGUUAAAAUCUCAAACUCUCGUUCUUAUUGACCGUAACCUUUUUUUGUUUUGUACUCUAGUACGAAAAACAGUUUUGAAUUUAAAAAAAGAAACUAUAACUGGAAAAUAAUAUUUUAUAAAAGCCAACAUCAAUUAUUUACGAAUCUCGUCGUUUCGACGGUCUUUAUAUACCGAUACCUAUUGGUUUAGCCAGACAUGGAUCCGGGAACAAACAUGAUAUUCAGAUAAUUAAGCAUACAAUAAGGCAUAAGCAAUUAAAAUGGCAAUUAAACUAGAACCUGGAAUAUAAAUCGAAAACUUGGAAUGAAUAUUGAUUCUUCAAAUUAAACAAUGCCAACACGCUUUGGCAAUCGAGUACACCGUUACAAUCAAAUUCAAUUGCUUAAACAAAAAUCGCAAUAGUCCCUGAUGUGGAGAAUCUAUUGCUUUUACAAGGUAAAAAUCUACCUAGGAAAAUCUAACAGCAAAAUCUGACUAAAAAGAUGCACCCCAUCCGUGAAGACUAACGUCUCUAUAUAUACUCCCCACUCCUCCUUAAAAGUAGCCUUGAAUAUCUACUAGUGGAGAGUGGUUGGUUGAAAGAGUAAAAACUUGGCGUGGCGAAAAGUGGGGAGAAGAACAAGGAAGACCGGGUUGGUGGCGACUGCCACAAUCCUAAUUUGGUCCACGUGACGGGUGCCACUUCAUGUGAGGUAGGCGCCACCACUUCAUAAACCCUUGUGGUGGGUGCCACUCUUCCAAGUGGUGGGUGCCACCCUUCAUCUAGUGUGGUGGGCGCCACUAUUCAUAUUUUGCUCCAUUUUCUUCCUUUUUUCUUUCCUUUUUUCUAUUUUCCUCUUUACUUGCCUAGACAUCUCUUAUUCAAUAAAUACCUGAAAUAAACAUAAAAUACGGUGUACUACUAUAGAAAAUCAAGUAAAAAGCAAUGCAUGUUAAGUCAAAUAUACGAUACAUUUUCAUGUUAUCAGUUCCCUCCUUAAUUUGAAUUUUGAAUUUCUGGUUGACAUUUUCACGUUAUCAGUUCUAAAGGAGACUUUUUAGGGUAACCUCUUCUAAGGGAGAAAAUUCAGCGGACCCGCUGGGGAUACACAAUGAGAACACAUGUGGGAUAAAAAUCCACUCGGAGUAAUACCACUGGCUUGGUUAAGGAUUUACCUGGUCCACCAUGAAAGGUUAUCGCGUUGCAAAAAAUAUAGAGUCACCACCGAACUUUAUUUAUUCUAAAUGAAAGGGAAAAUAUCACUAAAACCCUUAAAAGACAAAGAAGAUGGUCAUCGCAACCAAAUACGGAUUCGAGAGUCAAUUAUGCAAGGGGAAGGUAUUAACAUCCCUUACAUCCUUUGCUCAACGGGGAACAAUUUGAUUGUUUUGUGCGAAUGGUUGUUAUUAUCUAAAGGUUACUUGUGAUUGAUUUUAAUUAAGGGCGAAAAUAAGUUUUUGAUUAAUGUGCUCGCCAAGAUUUCAAAUCCUUUGUAUACGUAUUACCAUAGUGAAAUUAGAAAAUCAGAUCCCUGUAGUUCUUGGGGUAGAAAAUAAAUAUUUGUUGAUUAUUUUUAUUGAACGAAGUUAAAGUUCGCAUUCUAGCAGUUAAGCGUUGCUUGUAUACUCGCGCGCGGGAGUCUUAAGCGUUGUUUGUAUUGCGGUAGUACGAAAAUAACAUGUCCUUUAUGAAAUCUUUUGAAUGCCCUAAGACAAAAAAUUAAGCGUUGCUUGUAUACUCGCGCGCGGGAGUCUUAAGCGUUGUUUGUAUUGCGGUAGUACGAAAAUAACAUGUCCUUUAUGAAAUCUUUUGAAUGCCCUAAGACAAAAAAAAUUAAUUCGAUUGGUUGUGAUUGAUUUUAAGUGGGAGACAAGUAUCAAACCACAAGUUAAGUACGACCGACAAUACAAGUACUCGGGAGCUUAAAGGACAAGUGCAUCUUAACCUCUCUUUUUCAUCCCAAAUAUUUUUAUUUAUGAAAUUCGUGAAACAAGUUUAAUUGUUGGUACUUAGAGGGAGACAAACAUCUAACCACAAGCUAAGUACAGUCGACAAUCAAAAUACUCACGAGCUUAAAGGACAAGUGCAUCUUGACCUCUCUUUUUCAUCCCAUGUGUACCGAAUUAAACUCGUUUAUUUUUAAGUCUUUUAAAUGGAAGACAAAUAUUGGGCCACAAGUUAAGCACGACCGACAAUUCAAAUACUUGAGAGAUGUUAUAGACAAGUACGUACACCCCAUCCUUUUUCAUCUAGUUUAUUAUAAAAAGUGUUUUUUUAAAGUGAUUUGACGUUGGAUCAAGUGUUUGAAGUUGAUUAUGACAAUUGUGUGAAUUAAAUAGACGAGGUACUUGACGUUGAAUUAAGCACUCGCGUUGCAUUCAAUUAAGUUUGAUUUGGAAAACACUUGACAUUGGAUCAAGUUUAUUUUUGCUCUUUUGAAAAAAUUUAUUUUUAAGUCGCUUUUGAUUAUUUCUAAGUUAAUGGACGAAUAUGGAAAACGAUAAAAUUAUUACACGUUUAUGGGAGUGGGGUACACUUUGCCAAAUGGGGGUAAUAUGACAAAUGAAAGAGAUUUUUAAUUUAACCAAAUUUGAGAAUUAUUCACCAUGCAAUCAAAUGAGUUAUCAUAUAAUUAAUCAAUUAAAAUCAAUUAAUUAAAUUAAUUAAAAUUGAUUAUAAGAGUAUUCAAAAAGAAUAUGGUCAAAUAAAAAAUAAAAGAAAAAAAUCUAGCAUUAAAAUAAAGAAAAAGAUAAACGUGAUACAUAACAGAAAAUGAAACUGUGUUAUCGUCUUCCUCUCUCUCACUGACCAUAAAUUUUUUCGCCACCAAAACUCAAUCGAAAUGUAAAUUGGAGAUACCUUCUACUCGGUUUUCCACCCUCAACCUAACUCUAAUCUUCAAAUUAUUAGAAUCUUCACCAAUCAUAUUUAAUUGCAGAUUUUGUUCAUAAACCCUAAAGUCAAAAAGUCAAAUUAAAUAAGCAAGGGGUUUCAAUCAGCACGGCACAAGGAUUAUACUGAUAUCAAGAAAAAUGCGAAAAGAUUGAAGAAAAGAUGAUUUACCAACGGAGGGGAGAUUACCUCUGGUCAGUGUGAUGAUGAUGAACAGAGCGAUGAGAGAUUGAGCAGAGGUUGAGUCCUAUUCUAUCAGAGCUUCAAUAUGGAGCCUGAUGAAUGAUGUCAAAGGAGCUUUGGUGAUUUGUGGGUGAUGAUGAGGCUAUAAUUGGACAAAUUUAUUUUAAGGUGAGAAUUUUUUAUGAUAAAGAGUGAAAAGUGGUGGUUUUUAUAGGUGAGGAUGGAUGAA
rnacentral:lncRNA from 1 species